GUUACUAUUUAAGUCUAUGCAGGAAUGCGCCUUUGACGCGUCUGUUUUGCUGAAACUCCGCGCAUGCGCGAAUGCGAAAGUGAACUCGACGGGAAAGUUUUGAAGACUUAAAAAACGCUAUAAACAUCUCAUUAAGGACUGAAGUCAGUUUCUCAUUAUGGGGAACGGAGAGAGCAGUGAGAGAUCUUCAUCUGCUGAUCCCAGCUACGUGUCUGUGAGGGGUGACAGAUCAAUAACUGUUCCUCCUAAAUUCAGUGAUGAUCCAGUGACCUCUGACCCCAGAGUGUCUGACCUAUACGCAGAUAAAUCAGAUGAUGGUCUAGCGAGGAUUUUAGUGGAAACCCAGAACGUCUACUACACUGGCUUCAUUUCGAUGCUUGGCCACUAGAGCUCAAGACGUGUUAAAGGACAAAGUGGAUGACGACUAUGGUGUGGACUGGGAGGGACCACACUCCUUUGAGGAAAAGGGUGUGACCAUCCCAGAGGUUCAACUACCAAGAGAGCUAACCAAUGAGGAAAUUGCAACCUUGCCUCAUCCUGAAGUUCCAUUAAUAAAUGCUGUUAAAAUUUA